GGGUGCGGAACACGUACGCAACUUACCCUUAAGUGGGGGAUAGCCCGGGGAAACCCGGAUUAAUACCUCGUAACACUGUGAAGUGGCAUCACUUUAUAGUUAUAGCUCCGGCGCUUAAGGAUGGGCGUGCGUCCCAUUAGGUAGUUGGUUGAGGUAACGGCUCACCAAGCCUGCGAUGGGUAACUGGUGUGAGAGCACGACCAGUCACACGGGCACUGAGACACGGGCCCGACUCCUACGGGAGGCAGCAGUAAGGAAUAUUGGUCAAUGGACGCAAGUCUGAACCAGCCAUGCCGCGUGGAGGAUGAAGGCCCUCUGGGUUGUAAACUUCUUUUAUGGGGGACGAAACCCCGGAUUUUUAUCCGGCCUGACGGUACCCCAGGAAUAAGCACCGGCUAACUCCGUGCCAGCAGCCGCGGUAAUACGGAGGGUGCAAGCGUUAUCCGGAUUCACUGGGUUUAAAGGGUGCGUAGGCGGGUUUGUAAGUCAGUGGUGAAAUCCCGAAGCUUAACUUCGGAACUGCCGUUGAUACUACAGGUCUUGAAUACUCGGGAGGUGAGCGGAAUAUGUCAUGUAGCGGUGAAAUGCUUAGAUAUGACAUAGAACACCGAUUGCGAAGGCAGCUCACUACAGAGUCAUUGACGCUGAGGCACGAAAGCGUG
rnacentral:rRNA from 1 species